rnacentral:rRNA from 1 species
GACGAACGCUGGCUGCGUGCUUAACACAUGCAAGUCGAACGGAAAGGCCCUGCUUUUGUGGGGUGCUCGAGUGGCGAACGGGUGAGUAACACGUGAGUAACCUGCCCUUGACUUUGGGAUAACUUCAGGAAACUGGGGCUAAUACCGGAUAGGAGCUCCUGCUGCAUGGUGGGGGUUGGAAAGUUUCGGCGGUUGGGGAUGGACUCGCGGCGUAUCAGCUUGUUGGUGGGGUAGUGGCUUACCAAGGCUUUGACGGGUAGCCGGCCUGAGAGGGUGACCGGCCACAUUGGGACUGAGAUACGGCCCAGACUCCUACGGGAGGCAGCAGUGGGGAAUAUUGCACAAUGGGCGGAAGCCUGAUGCAGCAACGCCGCGUGCGGGAUGACGGCCUUCGGGUUGUAAACCGCUUUCGCCUGUGACGAAGCGUGAGUGACGGUAAUGGGUAAAGAAGCACCGGCUAACUACGUG